rnacentral:rRNA from 1 species
GGGGAAAUUUUGCAAUGCGCGCAAGCGUGACAAAGCGAGCCAGAGUGUUUUUCUUAUUAGAAAAACUUUUGUCAGCUGUAAAAAGGCUGACGAAUAAGGACUGGGCAAGACUGGUGCCAGCCGCCGCGGUAAUCCCAGCAGUCCGAGUCGUGGCCACAUUUAUUAGGUCUAAAACAUUCGUAGCUGGUUUUGUAAGUUCUUUGUGAAAUUGUUGCACUUAAUGCAACAGCGUGCAAGGGAGACUGCAAGACUAGAGACCGGGAGACGUAAGGAGUACAUUCAAGGUAGCGGUAAAAUGUUUUAAUCUUGGAUGGACUGACAAUGGCGAAGGCACCUUACGAGAACGGAUCUGACAGUGAGGAAUGAAGGCCCGGGGCGCAAAAUGGAUUAGAUACCCAUGUAGUCCGGGCAGUAAACACUGAUUACUAAACAUUGUGCCUUCCUCGAGAGGGUGCAGUGCUGAAGGGAAGCUGAAGAGUAAUCUACCUGGGGAGUAUAGCCGCAAGGCCGAAACU